AGCGAAAACGGACAUUCAGAAGGGCUCCAAUUAAAUGUAUCAGACUAGAACUGGACUGAAGUGAUAAUAUUAAUGACCUAUGGACCUAAAGGCAAUUGUUACAUUGCUUAGUGGAUUUCCACUAAGCUGCCAGGGGGAACCUCCAUUCUUAUCCUCUCCCUGUACGCAUGAGAGAGAGAGGGAAAGGGAGAAAAGGGAAAAAGAGAAGAAGAAGAAGUAAUGAAAUUGGUGUCGUUUGACGAGCCGAUUGAUCCCCCGCGCGUGUUGGAUUUUUCCGGCGCUUCGACUGCGAAAAAUCGAUUUUAAUGUGAUUUAGGAGCCGAUUUUGAGACCGUUUCGUCGACCGAUUUUUUCGUGACUUUCAGGUUGUUGUGGCUGCCAUGCGGAUUGGAUUUGGGCUGUGAGGUGGCUUCCGAGUAGUGGUAAUCUGCAAGAUAUAUCAACCUGAGGAUUGAGACCCUAACGUGAAAUUGGUCGCGUGUAAACCUAAUUGAAGGUAAAACAAACGCGUUGGCGAAGUCGGCUCGGCAAUCCAUCGAGCCUACGCAAAAAUAUCACCAAAAGGACGUUUUCGGCAUCAAUUGUCGCGAGCGCGGGUCGCGGUUCUCGGGAAGUGCGGGAAGUGGAUUUCUCGCGUUCAGGUAUCAAAUAAAGGU